rnacentral:lncRNA from 1 species
GAACAUGAGGAUGUGAACCUGAGUAAGACGGAUCUCUACCCAAAGGAGCAUGGUCUAAUAAACAGAGAAGGCUCAGGAGGGUCAGAAACACGGUGCCUCAUUUCUCAGCCUACUUGCCAAGAAUUCCCAAAAAGGAAGCACUGGAGGAUCAUUCCAAGGCUUGAGGUCCAGGACUACCCACUUCCCUUGGAAUGGUGUUGCCAUCACUGUUCUGGCACCGGAGAAAGGAUUCUACAUCGUUAGGAGAAAAGAAAAAGGAGAAUUUGGGCUUGCACUGAGAGGAUUACCUUUGGUGGUCUGGAAGUGGUGGCUGCACAGGGAGCAUGGCUGGGAGGCCUCAGGAAACUGACAAUCAUCAGUAGAAGAUGAAGAGGAAGGAGGCGCAUCUUACAUGGCCAGAGAAGGAGGAAGAAUAAGAAGGGAUUCUCCAGCUGGAGCCCUAUAAAUUGGACUGACAAAAGACAGAUUAGCAAGAGAAAUGCAAGCAGCAGUUUAUUAACAUGUGCAUCAUGAUUACACAUGGAAGUACCCAGAGAAGAAAGAU